GAGAAGAUGGCUCAACUGGUAAAGUGCCAGCCUGGCAAGCAUGAGGCCCUGAGUUCAAAUCCCCAGAACCCACA
rnacentral:tRNA from 1 species